GGAGAGUUCGCCUAGAGGCCUAUGGCGCCCGCUUGGAAAGCGGGUAGGUUAACGCCUACGUGGGUUCGAAUCCCACACUCUCCG
rnacentral:tRNA from 1 species